ensembl:rRNA 5S_rRNA 5S ribosomal RNA
GUCUCCGGCCACACCACUCUGAACGCGCCCAAUCUCGUCUGAUCUCGGAAGCUAAGCAGGGUCGGGCCUGGUUAGUACUUGCAUGGGAGACCACCUGGGAAUACCGGGUGCUGUAGGCU